UUAUAUACCCUAUCUAUCAUAAUCACACAAUAUCAAUCGUCUCUUGAUUUAGUCGAUCUUCUUCUUCUGUCCAGCACUCCCUCAUUUCACGAAGUCCCAAUUCAUUUCAGUUUUCUUAGUCAAUUGAUUUCUCAACUUGGUUCGUAACCCACCUUAUCUUUUCUUCCCUCUAGCCCUCUCCCGUUUCACGAAGACCAAUUCAGUUCUCAAAGUGAAUUGAUUUCCUGACCCAGUCCGUAACCCACCUUAAUCUUUGUGUAUGGUGCAUAAUAACUCAACCUCCAAGAUCUGCCAACUUGUUCAACAUCCAAUUUUUAAAUGGUAAGCACAUGAUUGGUUCUCUUGAUCAGAAGCUGCGGUGGGCUUGAGAAGAUAAGAAGAGUAUAGGGUAUCACAAACUUGGUUGUAGCCGCCUGACUGCUAGUGGUGCCAAUGAUGGUAGCGGUGGUUAAUUAAACUCUUGAUUAGUCGAGAGAUAUCUAGAUCUGGGUUAAAUCACAUUCUUGAUGAUGUGGAUGCAUAUAUUUGUUCAAAGCUAAAUCAUUGAAAAAGGUAUGUAUAUAUUUUUUGAAAGAGAUGCACAAUUAUUUUUUUAGAAGAGGCACUUAUCCAUUUCACAAAUUUAAACAUUGAUUUGAAAGAUACGGUGACUGAAGAAUAAAAAUUACAUUGUGCAAGCCUUUCCAUCUGAAAGAUACAUCUAUACUACUUAUAUUCUCAACCACUGAAUUAAAAUUCCCCUGACCAAAUUUCUUCCUAUAGAAAUUUUGCCAGAGAUAGUUAGUUAAGUGGUUGAGGUCUAUUCCUUAUAAAUAAAAUCAAAUAACAUUUUAGUAAAUCUAGCCUCUUGUUCAAAUCAAAUGGCUUUUCUUAUUUUGCUCUAGUCCUCAAUGUUCUUCAACUCCUCAGCAUUACAGUGAGGUAAAAUCCGUUCCAGCAACUGGUCCACUAUUCCCCUCAUAUUUACAAUGUGUUUAACAUUAUCAAUAGCUUUUUCUAGACACAAAUCUUCCAAGGAGGAA
rnacentral:lncRNA from 1 species